rnacentral:lncRNA from 1 species
GAUUUCUUUUAUGGCUUGUAUCAGUCUAGCAGUUAAAAGGGAGCACUUUGAACAGAAAAUGUAAGCACUCAUUUGACAUUUUUUGGUGAGCGUGGAUUUUACUAAAAUUAUUAAUGUUAUUAAUACAGCCAGGAGUUACUACCACUAGGUGAAACAUUUAAAAAAAUACUAUAUGCUAGGCAUACUAUUAAACUAUCAACUUCUAAUUAUCGGGAACAGUGUCCCAUUCAUCCCUUUUUCAUAGUUAUGUUAUUUGUGGGUAGAAUAGCAUACUUUAGAAAUGGUUGUUAAAAUGUAUUGAGCAGCAUUUUUAGAAAUUCAAACACUUAGGUCUGUUUUUGAUACCUUUAUUUAAAAUACUUUAACCCCCUAUUUAAUCUUGGUCAUAAUUAUAUUCUUUAUUUUUUUCUCUGAGUUUAUGGGC